GGCAAUAAGGAAUCCACCAUUGAUCCGUUGGCAUAUGAAUUAGAUAUCAUGUCAUGAAGUGGGCCCAUUUCACGUUUGUUGGCUGUUGCUGAACAGGGGAACAUUUGGAUGCUGGCACGAAAUUGUUGAGGCUGUUGUGGCACGAAAGGGCCCUCCUGUCAAUGGUCAGUCUACUGUUCAGCUCCAAACAAGCAAUUGAUUGUUGUGCAUUCAAUGAAUGCUUUCUUUCUGGACAGUAUUUUCAAUUGGAUCACCCUAUACCAUCAAUCGGAUCAAGUGAGUUUCUUUUGAGUGACAAGGAGAACAUGAAGAAGCCCAAAGGUCAUUAAUGAAGCUCUCAGAUGUGGGAACAUAGUCAAGUUUGUGCACCGAAAGGCCCUCAAGGAUGUUAGAUUUUAAGAUUAUUCAAUUCCAUGUGGAUGGAAGGUCCUCCUAGUUUUCAGUGUUGUA